rnacentral:rRNA from 1 species
UGAGCGGCAAAGCUCAAAUUUGAAUCUAGCACCUUCGGUGCUUCGAGUUGUAAUUUGAAGAUGGUAACCUUGGGUUUGGCUCUUGUCUAUGUUCCUUGGAACAGGACGUCAUAGAGGGUGAGAAUCCCGUCUGAUGAGAUGCCCAUUCCUAUGGAAGGUGCUCUCCAAGAGUCGAG